UGGACCGCAACAGAUUGUAAACAGUACUGGCAAAGGGAACGGUCACAUGAAUUACCGCAAACGGUCCAAAUAAAAGGUUUUCAAGUGCUACGUUUCAUCCUACCUCUGUAAUUUUGAAGAUGAGCCAGUUGUACUGGUCGACUCAACAGCAACUGCUCUUGUGUGGCUGGCUGUGGAAUCUGCAACCACUUGCUAGCAUUGCUGUUCCAGACUGCUCAUUAUUCUGAAUGUGGCAUGUCUGUUCUCCCUCCUGUCCUGUCAUGCACUCAGACGGAAGUGGCAUCAACCACGAACAAUGGGAGUGAAACCUGGACCAUGUGGAUGCCAUGGUUGUCCUGAAGCCCAAACUAGGUGCUACUACAGCCAGUGGAGUUGGAUCUACACUUUACAAGUCCUAUGGCGGUGAGCUCCCAAACCCAGCCACACUCAAUCCUGGACCUGCCUACGCUGGAAUGACAGCAGAAUCCCUUCCACUCAUCUGCACUGGACAUUUCAGCUGACAAGCCACUUGUGGACUCCCUCUUUGGGAAGGUACAAGCUGGCAGUGUACUGUCGUAUCAACAACCCAUACCUCCAUCUGACAGUGUUGUCAUGUAUGAGGAUGCACCUCCACUCCCAAGUGUGCCACUAGAACGUUACCAUCUGAACCCAACUGAAUGUUCAUUUGUGCCAACACACCAAGAACAGCUCACUUUCUGUAACCUUGCCACAGUCACACCCUCAUUGAAGAGGCAACAAGAUGCCAAAGUGCUACACCAGAUUGGCAUUCGCUCAGGAGAGAAAGAGUGACUGCCUCGCAUUUCAGAGAGGUGAGCCAUGUAAGAGGCCGUGGGACUGCAGAGAGUUUGGCAGAAAGGAUAAUUCGAGGGACAAGACAACAGCACACAUGAAGAGGGGAAUGGUAAUGGAAAAGGGCGCCUUAAAUGCAGUUCAAAAAAUCUGAACCUGACCAAGUGUGGGCUUGUGGUCCAUCCAGAUACAUCUUGGCUGGGUGCGUCUCCUGAUGGGCUUGUAUAUGUCCAUCUUUUGGCCUAGUAGAAAUUACAUGCCCAAAUGCACAAAGCUAUGCAGACUGCAAAUUCCUCAAAGUGACACAAGGCUUACAAAAACUGAAAGAGAGGCUCUGUUAUUAUUGGCAAGUUCAGGGCCAGUUAUUGAUGACUGGUAUGCAAUGGUGUGAUUUUGUUAUCUGUGCCCAUAAUGACAUCUUUGUGCAACGCAUAUACAGAGAUAGCGUUGUAAUGAAUGAGAUGAAACGAAUAACUUAACACUGCACAUUAAAAAUCUUCUGUAUUAUUA